GCCAUGUGGUGGCUGCCAGAGAGAGAAGAGGUGUCAGCAAUUCAAGACUGUGUCUCCUUACUAUCUUCAGUGCCUCCUUCCUUCAUAUGAUGUUAAAACCAGGUUCCAUUAAGUCAAGUUUGAUAACUGCAGUAUUCAAUACUUCCUUGUCUUUGGUAUGUUUUCAUCAGAGAGAGGAAUGGAGUCUUGCCAUGGUGCCCCAGCUGGCUUUGAACUUCUGGGCUCAAACAAUCCUCCUGCCUCAGCCUCCCAGAAUUAUCAAUAUUGAAAGCCAGUUACUGAUGAUAACAUAGAGGGUUGUGUGGAACUGUUAUAGAACUCUGACUGGACUGAGGCAAAAUCUUUAAGCAAAAUUAUUUUAGCGCUGUGCUUGGUGCUUUUCCUUAAUAUUUCACAUCGUCUGAAAA